UACGUAGGGUGCAAGCGUUGUCCGGAUUUAUUGGGCGUAAAGGGCCCGUAGGCGGUUUGAUAGGUCGGGUGUGAAAACUCCAGGCUCAACCUGGAGACGCCACUCGAUACUGUCAUGACUUGAGUCUGGUAGGGGAGUGCGGAAUUCCUGGUGUAGCGGUGAAAUGCAUAGAUAUCAGGAGGAACACCGGUGGCGAAGGCGGCACUCUGGGCCAGUACUGACGCUGAUGGGCGAAAGCGUGGGGAGCAAACAG
rnacentral:rRNA from 1 species